GACGAACGCUGGCGGCGUGCCUAAUACAUGCAAGUAGAACGCUGAAGAGAGGAGCUUGCUCUUCUUGGAUGAGUUGCGAACGGGUGAGUAACGCGUAGGUAACCUGCCUUGUAGCGGGGGAUAACUAUUGGAAACGAUAGCUAAUACCGCAUAACAAUGGAUGACACAUGUCAUUUAUUUGAAAGGGGCAAUUGCUCCACUACAAGAUGGACCUGCGUUGUAUUAGCUAGUAGGUGAGGUAAUGGCUCACCUAGGCGACGAUACAUAGCCGACCUGAGAGGGUGGUCGGCCACACUGGGACUGAGACACGGCCCAGACUCCUACGGGAGGCAGCAGUAGGGAAUCUUCGGCAAUGGGGGCAACCCUGACCGAGCAACGCCGCGUGAGUGAAGAAGGUUUUCGGAUCGUAAAGCUCUGUUGUAAGUCAAGAACGGGUGUGAGAGUGGAAAGUUCACACUGUGACGGUAGCUUACCAGAAAGGGACGGCUAGCUACGUG
rnacentral:rRNA from 1 species